AUUGAACGCUGGCGGCAGGCCUAACACAUGCAAGUCGAACGAGUGGCGGACGGGUGAGUAAUGUCUGGGAACCUGCCCGAUGGAGGGGGAUAACUACUGGAACCGGUAGCUAAUACCGCAUACCAUCGGAUGUGCCCAGAUUGGAUUAGCUAGUAGGUGGGGUAACGGCUAACCAAGGCGACGAUCCAUAGCUGGUCUGAGAGGAUGACCAGCCACACUGGAACUGAGACACGGUCCAGACUCCUACGGGAGGCAGCAGUGGGGAAUAUUGCACAAUGGGCGAAAGCCUGAUGCAGCCAUGCCGCGUGUAUGAAGAAGGCCUUCGGGUUGUAAAGUUCUUUCAGCGAGGAGGCGUUACUCGCAGAAGAAGCAACGGCUAACUCCGUGCCAGCAGCCGCGGUAAUUC
rnacentral:rRNA from 1 species